CUCAUACACUGGAGGCUUUUUAGGUCUUGAUCUUUAAAGCUUGUCCAGAGAAAUGGAACGACAUGGCCUGCUUUAUUGACUGCUUAUCAACUGCUUUAGUUCGAGUUCUUGACGCUGAGCUUCUGUAUCUUGAUGACACUGCUUUUGAUGUCCAAGGCAUUUCCAGUUUUUCUCUACAGGUUAAAUGGUGGAAGCAAUCUGUUAGCAUUCAUCUCAGUGGCACUUGGUCGGUCAAUGCAUAUAGCCCUCAGGGAGAAGAGACGUUCUCAUGGGCCGACUGCAGCAGAAGAAAGAGGGUUGAGAAUGAGGGGCAGGAUCCUGCAGCAACAUGGUGCAUAAGCAAUCUCUUUGAAGUGUACAGAUGGGUUAAAAUGUGGGACCACAGCAGCAUACUGCACAUGAGGCAAACAGCCAUUACAGUGGUGGGCAUGUCGGUCGGGGAGAACUCCAGGUGCCCUCCAUUAGUGAAGAGUGAAGGCCGUAGCAGAGCAAACAGUUGGACUGUUUUCAUCAUGAUAAAAGGAAGAUCCCCCUGGCUCCAUUGCGGAUGAAGCAGACACCAUAAGACAGCUCCUCACAGAUGAAGGCUGACGCAAAUGAAGAUAUGUGCCCCUCUAUUACAGAAAAGCCACAGAAAGAAAACCCGAGCCCUGAGACAGAGACUGUGCCUUGAGGAGAAUCAAGAUCUUCAACAUCACUAAUAGAGAGAUGUUUCUCCUGCAAGCACUGGCACUCAAUUCUCACAAGAGAUACAGCAGGGAAAAAAUAUCCAAAAGAAAAGGUCAUUACUUAUGUAGCGGAUUGCAUCCCUCCCUCUGGUCUGGUUUGAACUGCAUGAGUUGCCCUGUUCUGCUGAUUCAGGACUGGCUUCCCGCAACGGAUGGCUCACCAUAACUCAUCUGAGAUCUGCACAAACAGUGCACUGAAGAAAAUCUUGCUGAAAACACUAACCAGAGAACUGAUUCAACAAUGAAUAAGGUGAGUUAUUUUUGAAUCCAAUUUAGUGUAAAAACAUCUACUUUUUGGCAAUCUGAUUGCAUAAUGAGUCCUAUUGCAUAAACUGCUUAGACUUGUCUUAAAAGUUGGUCAUCUAAACUUUUUCUUCAAGACUUCAUAAUUCAUAAUUUUUUAAAUGUCAGCUGCAUAAAAACGUAGAUCGGUCUAAUUUGAAUUGGAAAAGUUAGACGGAUUACCUUUUGGUUAACUGCAAGUUGGUCAAACUAGUUCUUAAGACACAGUCUUAACAUAGUGGCUAAGUUUAUGAAACUGGCCUGAUCUUUGCUGCUUCAUCACACUAGAA